rnacentral:rRNA from 1 species
GACGAACGCUGGCGGCGUGCCUAAUACAUGCAAGUCGAGCGAACAGACGAGGAGCUUGCUCCUCUGACGUUAGCGGCGGACGGGUGAGUAACACGUGGAUAACCUACCUAUAAGACUGGGAUAACUUCGGGAAACCGGAGCUAAUACCGGAUAAUAUAUUGAACCGCAUGGUUCAAUAGUGAAAGACGGUUUUGCUGUCACUUAUAGAUGGAUCCGCGCCGCAUUAGCUAGUUGGUAAGGUAACGGCUUACCAAGGCAACGAUACGUAGCCGACCUGAGAGGGUGAUCGGCCACACUGGAACUGAGACACGGUCCAGACUCCUACGGGAGGCAGCAGUAGGGAAUCUUCCGCAAUGGGCGAAAGCCUGACGGAGCAACGCCGCGUGAGUGAUGAAGGUCUUCGGAUCGUAAAACUCUGUUAUUAGGGAAGAACAAAUGUGUAAGUAACUAUGCACGUCUUGACGGUACCUAAUCAGAAAGCCACGGCUAACUACGUG